CUAAGACGCCUGACUCAAGGUAGGCCAAUCAGAUUCCUCCCCUAGAAUUUGGAAUUGUGAUGUGGAAAGAGCCUAAGAGAUUCACAGGGAGGCAGAAAUGAGCCAGACACAUGGCGUGAGGAUGGGUCCAUUGGAUCGUGAGCUCCAGAGGGAAUCUACAAAUCCAUCUGCUGAGGUUUUCCUUCGGAGUAGAGCCAGCCCUGGUCCUUCUGAGCCCUGACGGGUUAACUUUUACUAGGAUUUUGAGAGGAUCUGCAUGCUUAGAAUAAACCUUCCUUUUCAUAAGUUACCUCAAUUGAUGUCAGAAUCUCCUAUAAGUCACCAAGAAGAGAAUAAGGAUUUUAAGACUACUGAUGGACAGCAGCUUAAAUAAUGACAAGAUGCUACUCAAUCAGCUGAAAGUGCCUUCCUGAAGCUGUGAUACAAACCUGAAUUCCACGCAUCCAGCCCCCCUUCCGGCCCUCCUUCACAUGCUUCCCAGUCCAGAGAAGACUCCUUUCUAAUCGUCUUCCGCCGAGAUGCCCACUGACUCUCUGUGGUGCUUCCACAACUCCCAUGAAGAUGCAGCACAUGGGGUCCCCUCCCUAACAAGUGGAUGUGCCAGUAGAGGAGUAUGCCAAGCCACUCUCCUGUUUAAAAAAAUCCAUCACCCUCUGAUGUUAAACAGAGAUGGCGUUCCAGGGGAAAACCAGAUUCCCAGCAUGGACAUUCCUCUGAAACUGGUGGGGGUGCAGCUGGGCGAAGGACACUAAGAACGCCUGCCUCCCGGUGUGUGGAGAAGGCCCACGGAGAAUCAGGCGUUUUCCCUUCUGUGGCCGUCUCCUACCACACCAGCUCAUUCUUCGCACGAGCCCCUUUGGUUCCUGACUACACUGUCUCCCAAGGUCUGGUACCAUUAGGUGUAGCAGCAGGUGAGUCUUAGAAGAUGUUUCCAAAACGAAGCUCAAGUUCAAUGCCACCAGCUGCCAAAAACUACCAGCUGGCUCUCCCGGAGAGGGUGGCACACUUCGGGACACGUACUGUCCUGGAAGGCCCUCCCUGGAAGCUGAGACGUGAGACUGCGUGUGGUAGCAACAUAAUCAACACAGCUGUCUUUGAGACUUAUUCUCUCCGAGUUUUGCUUCAGGAACAAGAAAUCAUUGCAACAGGGUCUGUAAUGAGGAAAACAAAUACAUAUUUUAAAUUUGGAUUUUCCUUAAAACAUUCAACAAGCCACUAACUUCAAACAUUGUAACAACCUUAACUCCUCGCCAAAUCAAUUGCAUUAUUCAGUUUUAUUGUUUUUUUUCCUCAAUUAAACAUUGGCAACUGGAACCUGUUUCACCGAAGAGGGAAGGCGGGUUUAAUGCCAUCCCGGCCCUGGGUUAUGGAGCUGCGGAAGGCUUGUCUGUGCAGUUAUCCAGCAGCUGGAUAUUUUCAAGUCUGAAAACUCACAGUCACUCAAAGGGAUAACCUAUAUCCAUCAUCUCACAAUAAUUGUAUUGAUUCUAAGGGUAAGGGAUUAAAUCUGACUUUUAAUGCUCUACCAUUUUAUCAGUGCAUUUGAAUAAAGUUUCAGGAUCUGCACAGGCCUUUCCCAUCGGAAUUUCAUGCAUAUCCCACUCAGAUAUCCUGUGGUUCUGGCUUGUCACAGAGCCAGGCACGUGCUUAUUGGAUUAGAAAUCUAGAUAGACGUUGGGGGCAGUUGAGAGCC
ensembl:lncRNA